AAAGGAGUCGUCCCUAGUACGAGAGGACCGGGAUGAACGUACCUAUUGUGUACCUGUUGUUGUGCCAACAGCAUUGCAGGGUAGCGAAGUACGGACGGGAUAAACGCUGAAAGCAUCUAAGCGUGAAGCCUCCCUUAAGAUAAGAUAUCCCACAGAGUUAAUCUGGUAAGACCCCUUGUAGAUUACGAGGUUGAUAGGUUAGAGGUGUAAGCACAGUAAUGUGUUCAGCUGACUAAUACUAAUAGGUCGAGGGCUUGAUCAA
rnacentral:rRNA from 1 species